rnacentral:rRNA from 1 species
GAUGAACGCUGGCGGCGUGCCUAAUACAUGCAAGUCGAGCGAACAGACGAGGAGCUUGCUCCUCUGACGUUAGCGGCGGACGGGUGAGUAACACGUGUAUAACCGACCUAUAAGACUGGGAUAACUUCGGGAAACCGGAUCUAAUACAGGAUAAUAUAUUGAACCGCAUGGUUCAAUAGUGAAAGACGGUUUUGCUGUCACUUAUAGAUGGAUCCGCGCCGCAUUAGCUAGUUGGUAAGGUAACGGCUUACCAAGGCAACGAUGCGUAGCCGACCUGAGAGGGUGAUCGGCCACACUGGAACUGAGACACGGUCCAGACUCCUACGGGAGGCAGCAGUAGGGAAUCUUCCGCAAUGGGCGAAAGCUUGACGCAGCAACGCCGCGUGAGUGAUGAAGGUCUUCGGAUCGUAAAACUCUGUUAUUAGGGAAGAACAAAUGUGUAAGUAAAUAUGCACGUCUUGACGGUACCUAAUCAGAAAGCCACGGCUAACUACGUG